rnacentral:rRNA from 1 species
AUUGAACGCUGGCGGCAGGCUUAACACAUGCAAGUCGAGCGGGGGAAGGUAGCUUGCUACCGGACCUAGCGGCGGACGGGUGAGUAAUGCUUAGGAAUCUGCCUAUUAGUGGGGGACAACAUCUCGAAAGGGAUGCUAAUACCGCAUACGUCCUACGGGAGACAGCAGGGGAUCUUCGGACCUUGCGCUAAUAGAUGAGACUAAGUCGGAUUAGCUAGUUGGUGGGGUAAAGGCCUACCAAGGCGACGAUCUGUAGCGGGUCUGAGAGGAUGAUCCGCCAGACUGGGACUGAGACACGGCCCAGACUCCGACAGGAGGCAGCAGUGGGGAAUGUUGGACAAUGGGGGGAACCCUGAUCCAGCCAUGCCGCGUGUGUGAAGAAGGCCUUAUGGUUGUAAAGCACGUUAAGCGAGGAGGAGGCUACUCUAGUUAAUACCUAGGGAUAGUGGACGUUACUCGCAGAAUAAGCACCGGCUAACUCUGCGCCAGCCGCCGCGGUAA